UGUAACAGGCUUUGAGACAGAACACAGAGAAACCCACGACCUCUUCAGGUGCACAUUAGCCACUUUGUUAUUCAUGUGCAGAAACCCACGACCUCUUCAGUAUGAUGGUCCCUGAUGCUGCAGAUUACAUGGAACGUAUCAAUAUAACCGACAUAAAUGAAGGACAAACUUGCUACUAAAGGAGCUGAACAACUAUCAAUAGUCUUCUCCUUCUAGAGCUCUUAAUCUCUCUGAAGUUGAUCUUUUAAUUGAUCUUUGUGUUGUUUAUAGUUUUUUAAUAGAGAAAAGAAUUAUCAUGGUAAGAUACUACAAGGCUGUGGGAGAUUAGCAAGUAAGCCAGAGGAAGAAUCAAAUAACACUCUUGCCUAAUAAAUGAAAUCUUUGAAACUUAAGAGAAAGAAGGCACGUGCAAGGGCAAUAAAUUCAAUGCUAUAUGUCACUUCCUUGGUUACCAAGCUUGCGGAUCUCUCACACUGAAAUUCAAUUGUUAUUAUGCAUAUGUAAGUCACUGCCACUCUGACCACAACACUAAUUCCACAUCCUCGCUGCAGGUUUAAAUGGUGACAUGGAAACAAUGACCAACUCUAAAAGUCAUGUAAACAAGUGGAAAUCUGGUGCUGUACCUACUAAAAUUGGCAGACGUACAAUUCAUCCGAGUAAGCAGCUUCUGUUUUGUUUACAAAAACAUCAAAAAGAUGCAUGCUUAAUAAUGUUGCUUUUUAUCUUUCUCAGUUGUUAGUAAUGUUUAAAUAGUUUGUAACAGGCUUUGAGACAGAACACAGAGAAACCCACGACCUCUUCAGGUGCACAUUCGCCACUUUGUUAUUCAUGUGCAGAAACCCACGACCUCUUCAGUAUGAUGGUCCCUGAUGCUGCAGAUUACAUGGGACGUAUCAAUAUAAGCGACAUAAAUGAAGGACACACUUGCUACUAAUGAAGCUGAACAACUAUCAAUAGUCUUCUCCUUCUAGAGCUCUUAAUCUCUCUGA
rnacentral:lncRNA from 1 species